UUUGCGUUUAGGUUUCGAAAAAUUCUAAUAACUUCUAUGUAGCUUCAGAUAGCAAUUUCAUAGUUGAAAUGCAUGUGUAUAUGAACACGGCCUUUCCAUAAGCACACACAUUUUGACCCCUGUGACAUUGACCUUGAAUUUAGGGUCCGCGUUUAGGUUUCGAAAUCUGCGUUUAGGAUUCGAAAAAAGCUCACAACUUCUAUCAAGCGUUUAUAGGGGGCGUAGGUCAUCCUAUGGUGACAGCUCUUGUUCAGGCUGGAAUAAAUGAAAUUAAAACAAGUUUCAACUUCACUUCGUAUAUAACUAAAAGUUUUCGAGACACUGCAUCAUAUAGAUAUAUAUUCAGAUCGUCGUGGUGCAGUUUUAGGAAGAAGUCGCAAAAGUAGUCGGAAAAGGCCAAAUAACAUGGCUUGGUUGUGUAUGUUAGAUUGGAAGUGAUAUAAAUAGCAUACCCUUAAUCAAUUUCUAUUAAUUCAAGUAAACUUAAAUUCGAUGAUAAUAAUUUCACAUAUAAAAUAUAUUACCUUCUCGAGAAGAAGUUAAAAACAAAACUAUGCCAACUGUAUAACCUUAUGUAUAAACAGUAUACUGUGAAAGGAUCGAUUUAUUCAUUGAAAAGGACACUGUAACAUAAAGUAAGCAUUUGUGUAUUGGCUAUACCGAAAUAAUGUCAUCGUUAUGCUGUAUAAACUGUAUUUAUUUUUCUUAAAACAACCAAAAUGAAUAACGAUUUUAUAAAGACAACGAGGAAUACAUGCUAAUAAAUUAAAAUAAUUGACAAUAUUAAAGGUGUUUUAACUAAUAUUUUAAAAGUGGAUGGAUAAUAUUUACCGGUACAUAGAAAAUAUGAACGCCCUCAUGAAUAUUCAGUUGAAAUCCGUCGGAAAUCUUAGCCGAUUAUCAGUUAAGACUAGAAUAUUGUGCAUUAUUGAUAUGGAUUAGUUAAGACACAUUUUUGAUAAAUCAUUACAUCGUUUGUUUAAUAUUUAACGUUCAUUGUCAAAAUUACAUGUAUAUUUUUUCAAAUGUCUCGUAGAUGAAUUUACUUAACACAUUUCAAAAAUAUUUAUGUACAAGAUUUGUUUCCUAGUUCAGAGUAAAUAACAAUAGUGCAUGUAAGCGCCUUAAAACCAGCGAUAUAAAUUUACCAUGGUAAUUCUUUAUAUGCUUAUAUUCUUAGAUUAAAAUAGAGCAUCAUGA